rfam:Triticum urartu cultivar G1812 contig250542, whole genome shotgun sequence.
AUUCUACUCCCUCCGUUGCACAAUACUACAUGCCUUCUAUUUGUCAAAAUAUAUAUGUAUCUAGACAUGUCUUAGUAUAUUGGUACAUCCAUUUUUGGACAAAUGGAAGUCAAGUAUUUUGGAAUGGAGGGAGUACACA